rnacentral:rRNA from 1 species
GACAGAGGAUGCAAGCGUUAUCCGGAAUGAUUGGGCGUAAAGCGUCUGUAGGUGGCUUUUUAAGUCCGCCGUCAAAUCCCAGGGCUCAACCCUGGACAGGCGGUGGAAACUACCAAGCUGGAGUACGGUAGGGGCAGAGGGAAUUUCCGGUGGAGCGGUGAAAUGCGUAGAGAUCGGAAAGAACACCAACGGCGAAAGCAGCUCGCUGGGACGGUACUGACGCUGAGACGCGAAAGCGU